UACAGAGGGGGCAAGCGUUAUUCGGAAUUAUUGGGCGUAAAGGGCGCGUAGGCGGCCUGGCAAGUGGAAGGUGAAAUCCCUCGGCUUAACCGAGGAACUGCCCUCCAAACUGCUUGGCUUGAGUCCGGGAGAGGUGAGUGGAAUUCCCAGUGUAGCGGUGAAAUGCGUAGAGAUCGGGAGGAACACCUGCGGCGAAAGCGGCUCACUGGACCAUAACUGACGCUGAUGCACGAAAGCUAGGGGAGCAAACAGG
rnacentral:rRNA from 1 species